UACGAAGGGGGCUAGCGUUGCUCGGAAUCACUGGGCGUAAAGGGUGCGUAGGCGGGUCUUUAAGUCAGGGGUGAAAUCCUGGAGCUCAACUCCAGAACUGCCUUUGAUACUGAAGAUCUUGAGUUCGGGAGAGGUGAGUGGAACUGCGAGUGUAGAGGUGAAAUUCGUAGAUAUUCGCAAGAACACCAGUGGCGAAGGCGGCUCACUGGCCCGGUACUGACGCUGAGGCAC
rnacentral:rRNA from 1 species